rnacentral:rRNA from 1 species
AGGAUGAACGCUGGCGGCGUGCCUAACACAUGCAAGUCGAACGAAGCAUACGGACUGGAGAUUCGUCGAAGGACUGUAUGACUUAGUGGCGGACGGGUGAGUAAUGUAUGAGCAACCUGCCUUUCAGAGGGGGACAACAGUUGGAAACGACUGCUAAUACCGCGUAACGUAUCGUGGGGGCAUCCUCGUGAUACCAAAGGAGCAAUCCGCUGAAGGAUGGGCUCAUAUCUGAUUAGCUUGUUGGCGGGGUAACGGCCCACCAAGGCGACGAUCAGUAGCCGGACUGAGAGGUUGAACGGCCACAUUGGGACUGAGAUGCGGCCCAGACUCCUACGGGAGGCAGCAGUGGGGAAUAUUGGGCAAUGGGCGAAAGCCUCGACCCAGCAACGCCGCGUGAAGGAAGAAGGUCUUCGGAUUGUAAACUUCUUUUAUGAGGGACGAAGGACGUGACGGUACCUCAUGAAUAAGCCACGGCUAACUACGUGCCAGCCGCAGC